rnacentral:lncRNA from 1 species
AUUUUAAAUACUUUUUACACUUUUUUGACAUUUUAAUGCUUUUAAAAAAAUUCCAAAAAUAUUGUUCUUAUCAUCUUAAUUUUCUCUAAUUUUCAAAAAUUCAUCCUACUUGUUUCUUUUAAUUUUUUGCUCAUUUCUUCACUUGCUUUCUAUUGUUGCUUUAUUGUGUCUUUAUAUGAUGAUUUUAAUUGUUACUUGCUAUUUUCAUAUGUCUAUUGUUAAUUUCUUGCUUAUUAUUUCUUAUGUCUCAUUCAUCACAAUAUUCCUUAUGAUUACUAACGAUUUAAUCUUUGUUUUGAAUCAUAGCAUGCACAUUUAAUUUUCUCAUCAUUUUAUUUUGUCAUUGACUUAGUGUGUAUAAAUAGAGAAUUGAUGUAAGUUUUAUUUCUUGCAUUUUAUUUUGGCAUAAAGGCCUUAGGGUUGUAUUUAGGAAUUGAUGUAAUAAUGUAGGUAACACAAGCACCGACACAUGCACCGACACUUCACAUUUAUUUCUUAUACGUCGUUACGUUAGCUUACCGUUAGUUUAGAAAAAACCUUUUUAUCAAAAAAACUAAAUAUGUCAAAUUCAAAAAUCAUUUUCUUAACAACAUUUUCUCUUUAUUUUCUUAAUCAAAUUCUCAAUCAAUCUUAACUCAACUUCAGCCAUUUUUAAACUUUAAAAUCAAUCAACCUCACUUGUUUUCUUUAUCUCAUGCCUUGAGGCCUCUUUCUCUUCUAAAAACCCAUUUUCAAAAAAAUCUUAAAAUCAACCUAACCCACCAUAGAAAUUUUUGGGUGGAACUACGUCGAUUUUGAUCCCUUUCCCAAAAGGGUACGUAGGCAGAGGACUUGUCCUUCCAAAUCAAAUAAAAAUAACCAAAAACAUACUUCUUCUCCCUCCAUUCUUUCACUUAGAUUUUAGGUAAUAAUUUUUCAAGUAAGCAAAUGAAUUUAGCACAAUAUAAUCUAGGUAAGAGGUUCCUAUGGAAUACCAUAGACGCUUAGGGUGCUAGCACCUUCCCUUCGCGUAACCAACCCCCGAAUUCAGAGUCUUAAGGGUUUUUACUCAUUUUUUCCCUUCCCACGAAUAAAAAUCGAGAGUUCAAAGAUUGACGAUUCAAAUCAAUUAAUGGUGUGAUAUCCGAAAAUCGC